GAUUAAGUUAUUAAGGGCGCACGGUGGAUGCCUUGGCACUAGAAGCCGAUGAAGGACGUUACUAACGACGAUAUGCUUUGGGUAGCUGUAAGUAAGCGUUGAUCCAGAGAU
rnacentral:rRNA from 1 species